rnacentral:rRNA from 1 species
CAAUAGCGUAUAUUAAAGUUGUUGCAGUUAAAAAGCUCGUAGUUGAAUUUCGGGUCCCCGCGCUCGGCGCUUCAUUGUGCCGUCGUGGUGUCCCUCCUCGCCGUAAGGCGUCCUUUACUGUGAAAAAAUUAGAGUGUUCAAAGCAGGCAAUCGCUUGAAUACAUUAGCAUGGAAUAAUAAGAUAGGAUCUUGUCUAUUUUGUUGGUUGCGGACAACGAUAAUGAUUAAUAGGGAUAGUUGGGGGUGUCCGUAUUGAGCUGUCAGAGGUGAAAUUCUUGGAUUUGCUCAAGACGAACUACUGCGAAAGCAUUCACCAAGGAUGUUUNCAUUA